rnacentral:rRNA from 1 species
GCCCCAGACUCCUACGGGAGGCAGCAGUGGGGAAUAUUGCACAAUGGGGGAAACCCUGAUGCAGCGACGCCGCGUGAGCGAUGAAGUAUUUCGGUAUGUAAAGCUCUAUCAGCAGGGAAGAAAAUGACGGUACCUGACUAAGAAGCCCCGGCUAACUACGUGCCAGCAGCCGCGGUAAUACGUAGGGGGCAAGCGUUAUCCGGAUUUACUGGGUGUAAAGGGAGCGUAGACGGCAUGGCAAGCCAGAUGUGAAAUACCGGGGCUCAACCCCGGGACUGCAUUUGGAACUGUUGGUCUUGAGUAUCGGAGAGGCAGGCGGAAUUCCUAGUGUAGCGGUGAAAUGCGUAGAUAUUAGGAGGAACACCAGUGGCGAAGGCGGCCUGCUGGACGACAACUGACGGUGAGGCGCGAAAGCGUGGGGAGCAAACAGGAUUAGAUACCCCUGUACU